UACGAAGGGGGCUAGCGUUGCUCGGAAUUACUGGGCGUAAAGGGCGCGUAGGCGGACAGUUAAGUUGGGGGUGAAAGCCCGGGGCUCAACCUCGGAAUUGCCUUCAAUACUGGCUGUCUUGAGUGUGAGAGAGGUGUGUGGAACUCAGAGUGUAGAGGUGAAAUUCGUAGAUAUUCGGAAGAACACCGGUGGCGAAGGCGGCCCCCUGGACCGGUACUGACGCUGAGGCGCGAAAGCGUGGGUAGCAAACGGG
rnacentral:rRNA from 1 species